GCUGGCGGUGCGCCUUAUGCAUGCAAGUCGAGCGAAGCUUUUCAGUAGUUUACUACAGAAAAUGACUGAGCGGCGAACGGGUGAGUAACGCGUGAGCAAUCUACCUUAGUUACAGGGAUAGCCCGAGGAAACUCGGAUUAAUACCUGAUAUUCUUUAUUUCUCGCAUGAGAAUAAAAGGAAAGGUCAGCCGAACUAAGAUGAGCUCGCGUUCUAUCAGCUAGUUGGUGAGGUAAAAGCUUACCAAGGCUACGACGGAUAGCUGGUCUGAGAGGACGAUCAGCCACACUGGGACUGAGACACGGCCCAGACUCCUACGGGAGGCUGCAGCAGGGAAUAUUGUGCAAUGAACGAAAGUUUGACACAGCGACACCGCGUGUGGGAUGACGGAUCUAGGUUUGUAAACCACUUUCAGGAGGGAAGAAAAUGACGGUACCUCCACAAGAAGCCCCGGCCAACUACGUGCCAGCAGCCGCGGUAAUACGUAGGGGGCGAGCGUUGUCCGGAUUUAUUGGGCGUAAAGAGCUCGUAGGCGGUUCAACAAGUCGGUCGUGAAAGUUCAGGGCUCAACCCUGAAAUGUCGAUCGAUACUGUUGUGACUAGGAUACGGUAGAGGUGAGUGGAAUUCCGAGUGUAGCGGUGAAAUGCGUAGAUAUUCG
rnacentral:rRNA from 1 species